rnacentral:tRNA from 1 species
CCCCCCUCCCCAGCGAAAAAUUCAGUAAAAGUCCGGAGUGCAAAUUCGGAUAUGGUUUAUUAGACCCUGGAUUUGUCUCCUUUUUUUUCUAAAAGGAGACUGGAUUAAUGCCCGCUGGUUUGGGCAGCUAGCUGUUAACUAGUUUUUGUAGGAUCAAGGCCUACUAGUCCUG